AUGGGUGCAAUGUUUAUUUUCUCAUCGACUGUGUUUUGGUGAAGGGAACCACCACAUCCACCAUACUGACUACUGGAGAUAAUUGGAAAAUCUUCUUUCUUCUGAAGCGAGAUUACAUUGCAUGGUUGCAAUGUUUAUUAUACCAUAGAAUGGGAUUUUGGUGUAAGGGAACCACCACAUCCAGCAUACUGAACAUGGGAGAUACUGGGAAAGUCUUCUUUUUUGGGCAGGCAGCUGCAUCUGACUCAGCCAGAGACAGUGCCUGAAACCGGUUUGUCAGACGCAUCGGGGAGGCCUUCUGAUCAGCCUCCGGGGACGUCUUUC